rnacentral:rRNA from 1 species
GGGGCUCAACCCCCAGCCUGCAGUGGGUACGGGCAGACUAGAGUGCGGUAGGGGAGAUUGGAAUUCCUGGUGUAGCGGUGGAAUGCGCAGAUAUCAGGAGGAACACCGAUGGCGAAGGCAGAUCUCUGGGCCGUAACUGACGCUGAGGAGCGAAAGCAUGGGGAGCGAACAGGAUUAGAUACCCUGGUAGUCCAUGCCGUAAACGUUGGGAACUAGAUGUAGGGGCCAUUCCACGGUUUCUGUGUCGCAGCUAACGCAUUAAGUUCCCCGCCUGGGGAGUACGGCCGCAAGGCUAAAACUCAAAGGAAUUGACGGGGGCCCGCACAAGCGGCGGAGCAUGCGGAUUAAUUCGAUGCAACGCGAAGAACCUUACCAAGGCUUGACAUAUACCGGAAACGUCCAGAGAUGGUCGCCCCGCAAGGUCGGUAUACAGGUGGUGCAUGGUUGUCGUCAGCUCGUGUCGUGAGAUGUUGGGUUAAGUCCCGCAACGAGCGCAACCCUCGUUCUAUGUUGCCAGCACGUUAUGGUGGGAACUCAUAGGAGACUGCCGGGGUCAACUCGGAGGAAGGUGGGGAUGACGUCAAAUCAUCAUGCCCCUUAUGUCUUGGGCUUCACGCAUGCUACAAUGGCCGAUACAAAGGGCUGCAAUACCGUAAGGUGGAGCGAAUCCCAAAAAGUCGGUCUCAGUUCGGAUUGAGGUCUGCAACUCGACCUCAUGAAGUCGGAGUCGCUAGUAAUCGCAGAUCAGCAACGCUGCGGUGAAUACGUUCCCGGGCCUUGUACACACCGCCCGUCAAGUCAUGAAAGUCGGUAACACCC